UUUUUUAUAAAAAUAAUUUAUUAAUUUAAAGUUUUAGUAUUAAUUGAAAAUUAAUUUAUAGAUUUAUAGUUUAAUAGUAUUGUGAAAGAAAUAAUUAAAUUUAAAAAAGAAUUAUUUUAGUACCUUUUGUAUCAGGGUUGAUUAAAAUUUUUAAUUUUUUUUUAAAUUCUCAAAAUUUAUAGAGUUAAUUUUAUUAUUAAUUUAUUGUGUUAUAAAUAUUUAUAAAAUAAUAUUAGUUUUGAAAUUUAAUUCGUUAUAUUAUAUUUAGUUAUUUAAGAUUUAAAUUUAAUUUAAAAUUUUGAAAGUUAUUUUAAUUUUUUUGAUUAAUAUUUCAAAUUUAAAUUAUUUUAGGGAUAAGCUUGAAAUUUUUAUAUAAUAAUUUAUUUAUUUUAAUAAUUUAUAGGAAUAGAAAUUUUUAUUUAAGUUUGUAAAAAUUUAUUAUUUAUUUAUUUUUAAUUUAUUAUAAAUUAUUUAUUAUUAAUAUUAAAUUUUAUUAAUUAAUAUUUAAUUAAUAGUAAUAAUGAUUAAAUUAGUAUAAUUUAAAUUUAUAAAUUAUGAAUUCGGCAAAAAUUAUUUUCAUCUGUUUAACAAAAACAUUGUAUUAAGUUUAAUUUAAUAUAGGAUCUGCUCAAUGAUUUAUUAAAUAGCUGCAGUAUUUUGACUGUGCAAAGGUAGCAUAAUAAUUAGUCUUUUAAUUGAGGACUUGAAUGAAAGAUUUGAUGAGAAAUAAACUUUAUUAUUUAUAUAAUUAAAAUUUUAUUUUUAAGUAAAAAAGCUUAAAUUUUUUAAAGGGACGAUAAGACCCUAUAAAACUUUAUAAAUUUUAAUUUUAAUUUUUUUGGGUUAAUAAAUAUUUUAUUUUUAAAAUUUAUUUUAUUGGGGUGAUAAAAAAAAUUAAUAAACUUUUUUUAAAAUUUAACAUUAUUUAAUGAAUUAUUGAAUUAAAAUUUUUAAUUAAAGGAAAAAGUUACUUUAGGGAUAACAGCGUAAUUAAUUUUUUAAGUUCAAAUUUAAAAAUUAGUUUGCGACCUCGAUGUUGAAUUAAGAUUAAUCUUAGGUGCAAAAUUUUAAGUAUUAGGUCUGUUCGACCUUUAAA
rnacentral:rRNA from 1 species